GACGAACGCUGGCGGCGUGCUUAACACAUGCAAGUCGAACGAGUGGCGAACGGGUGAGUAACGCAUCGGAACGUACCGAGUGAUGGGGGAUAACUGUUCGAAAGGGCAGCUAAUACCGCAUAUUAUUCGAGCGGCCGAUGUCUGAUUAGCUGGUUGGUGGGGUAAUGGCCAACCAAGCCGACGAUCUCUAGCUGGUCUGAGAGGAUGACCAGCCACACCGGGACUGAGACACGGUCCGGACUCCUACGGGAGGCAGCAGUGGGGAAUAUUGCGCAAUGGGGGCAACCCUGACGCAGCCAUGCCGCGUGAAUGAAGAAGGCCUUCGGGUUGUAAAGUUCUUUCGGUGAGGAGGCGUUAAUCACAGAAGAAGCACCGGCUAACUCCGUGCCAGCAGCCGCGGUAAUAC
rnacentral:rRNA from 1 species